GGCUCCGCGCGCCUGCCAGGCCGGGGCCGGCGGCGGAACAGCUUGGGACCCGAAACGCCUCGGCUUUUCUGCGGACCCGCGCCCGGCCGCUGCCGCCGGACGCUUGAAAAGAGGCAGAGUCUUGCUUUGUUGUCCAGGCUGGUCUUGAACUUCUGAGCUCAAGUGAUCCUCCCGCCUUGGCCUCCCAAAGUGCUGAGACUACAGAGAGAGAAUGCUAACGAGCUGUGAAAUGACCAAAGAUCUGGCAGCAGAAGGGAAAAGAAAAAAUAAUGGGAAGAAGAGGAUUUAUCUGACUCAACUGGAGAUGGCUCCCUUCCCUUAUUUAUUGUUGCAUCCUGAAGCUUCCCCCAUGCUGGGCUCAGUGUGAACAAACAGCGCGGGAGAAUGCAACCACUGCAGAGGCAUAUGUUUGAGAUACCUGGCCACUGGAGGUCAUCUCGUCUACUAUAUUCACCGCAGAUAAAGAAUGAAAAGAGAAUACACAACCUUGUGAUUGCUAGCAGUGAAAGCUCAGAGUUAUGACAUAACAAGUGGUUGAUCAUACUGUAAAACUCAAAUGUGAAGGGAAGGCUGGAACCUACUGGAAACUGAAGAUCUAACGAAAAGAAGGAACUUUUAGGAACUAGCAGAGACUUCAAAAUGUUGAGAACUCUCUUUUUUCAUAAGAGAAGAUAAAAACUCUGAUGGUCACACUCAUAAAGACAAAAAACAAAUAAAAAACAAACAAAAACUCAGAAUCACAAGAGCAAAGAAAAUGUAGGUAAAACAAUAACAGAAGAGGUAAAGAAAUUUAUGUGAAUUGGGACACUCUGGGGCACAGAACAGAAGAGGAGAAGAAACAUGAAAGUAAUGCUCUGCACAAGGAUGUCUGACUGUCCUUGAUUCCAAGGGCAUUUAAAAUUAGCCACUGGAUGAGAACCAUGAAAUGCCAUGACUCUUACAGCUCCCAUGAAAGACAUUGGAUGGAACUUAUCCUAACUGGACCAAAUUCUAAAAAAUUUUACAUGAUAUUAUAAUGAGUUGAAAGUUGAAAAAAAAAAGCUCUUCUAGAUUACCAAGAAUAAAACACAAAUUUCUAGCUGACUGAAUUAAUUCUCAUCUCUCUAUAGAAAGAUCAUAGAAAUUUUUUUUAUCAUGCAAAGAAAUAGCUAAAAAUUUACAAAAAUAUAGACGUGCAUUAGGCAGCUCAUGAAUAAAUGCGUUUUUUCCUUUUUUCCUCCAGAAUUUUGUGAUGUUUAUGGUACUUUUCGGCUUUUAAAAUUUUGUAUUUAAUCAGGAUUUAUUACUUCAUUGUAAGUAAAUAUUAAAUUUGUACUCCAUCUUUGUUUGUAAUUUUGUAUAUUUUUCAGUAAAAAGGACUCCCCAGAUUAUGUAAGCUUUAGGCCCCACAAAAUCUAGGCCUGUUGCUGUAUCCUUUCUAGAGCAGUGUUUCUCAAACUUCAAUGUGCAUUUGAAUCUCCUGGGGCUCCUGUUAAAAUAUAGCUUCUGAGAUGAUGCAUUUCUAACAGACUCCCAGGGCUGACACUGCCCAUCUGGGGACCACACUUUGAGAAUCAAAUAUCUAGAACAAUGGUUCUUACCUGGCUGUGCAUUGGGAUCAUUUAUAGUGCUUUUGGAAAAUACAUUGUGUCCAGGUCCCACCCAGUUCUCAGUAGGCUUGGAAUGGGGUCCUACACUUUUUUUUUUUAACUCCACAGUUUGGGAAAGAAGCCUUUUCAUAUAUUGUUGGUGGGAAUACAAAUUGAUACAGCCAUUUUUGAGCUUGAUUUGGCAAUAUCUUCCUUGGAGAAAUCAAAAGCCAGUUGGCAAGCCAGUCUGGAAAAGGCAGUUUACUGAUUCCCACCCGAGGGUCACAAAGCAGGUAUAGAAGGAUGGGCUUUGGCUGAAAUAUAUGAUGGGUACAGGUAUAUUCUCUAUAAUCCAGUAUUUCCACUGCUGAAAACGUAUCCUAGUAACAUUAUACAUAUCAAGCCUACAUAUAAAGUUGGUCAAUUCCAUAUUAUUUGUAGUAGGGGAAAACUGAAAGCAGUCUACAUGCCCAUCAAUAGAUUAUUCAAAUUAUGGAACAGUUUUCCAAUGACAAAACAAUAGCUAAUCUUAGUUAAGCAAUUAUUAUGUUAUGUAAGGUAGACAUUGUUCUACCUUAUUUAUAAGUAUUAAGUUAGUUUUUAUAACUAUCAUAUUUCCAUUUUACAAAUGACAUAAUUUAUAUUAUUGACAUGGGAAGAUGUCCAAGGAUAUAAUAAGCAAAAAGCAAGUAGCAAAACAUUAUGUAUAUUAUGCAUUACCAUUAUAAUAUACUAAAAAGUAAUGCACUUGAUUCUGAUGCACACUCCCCAGUAGGUAACAACUUAUCUAGUGUAAAAAUGAAAGAACAUUCUGGGCCGGGCACGGUGGCUCAUGCCUGUAAUCCCAGCACUUUGGGAGGCCCAGGUGGGCGGAUCACAAGGUCAGGAGAUCGAGACCAUCCUGGCUAACAUGGUGAAACCCCGUCUCUACUAAAAAUAC
rnacentral:lncRNA from 1 species